rnacentral:lncRNA from 1 species
CUUCGCACUUUACGUCAAUUUACCCUAUGCAAACCAGUCUAAAUAUGGGUUAGUAAUCCAUGUCUCAAUCAAACAAUUAUGUUUAAAACCUCGAAACCCACAUAGGUUAGGCAAGCUCUGAAUAGAAAGAUGUUAUGCAAAUUCAGAAAACAAGUCACUAUUAAAGUGAAAGAGCCAUCUAAUAGUUUCUGUCGACUAAAUAAGAACACGUCCAGUGGUAUUGACAAUAGAUGAGCAAUAUUUCCUACUAUUUUUUAUAUGUUACAACCUCCAUCAAGCAAAUAGCAACUAAUUUAUACAUUUGAACAACAAAUAAGACUCGAUACCUAAUAAACAUAAUAACAUCUUUCUCAAAUUCUUUGAAGAGUUGUACAUUAACAUUUAUCACUUCAUUGUAAUAUAAGAUGUACCUUGUGCAGAAAGGGCUCCUGAGAUUAUGCCUUUUGNNNNNNNNNNNNNNNNNNNNNNNNUCUCUAAAUUAGAGUUUACAGAAAUCCUACGUACUCAAAAAGCAUAAAAUUGCAUUUAAGCCACCAAUUCAGGAUAUGAAGACUCAAAUAUCGAAUUUUGCAUUCAAAGUCAUCAAAGAGAUAUAUUAAAUUUUUACAUAAGAUUACCAAGGCGGCGCACAUUAGUACACUACCAUCAUCCAAUUUAUGAAAAAUGCAUAAUUGCAUCAAUGGUCAUUUCAACAUGCAUUUCAAAUUAUGAAUAAACAUUAAUAUAGAAAUUGCAUUUAGGCCAACAAUUGGUUAUCAAGGCUAAAAUAUAGAAUUUUGCAUUUGAAGUCAUC